GCAAUCUCGGCUGGCUGCAAGCUCCGCCUCCCUCCCAGUAGCUAGGACUACAGGCCUACAGGCGCCCGCCACCACACUCGGCUAAUUUUCUGUAUUUUUAGUAGAGACAGGCUUUCACCGUGUUAGCCAGGAUUCUUAUUUGUAGUAAUCAAGCACACUGAUUCUAACUUAACAGAGCAGAACAUCAAUGUAUUAGUUUUCAAAGAGGGCUCUAUUUGCCCUAGGUCCGUGGUUACCAAGAAACAAGGCUAUUUUCUAAUUGUUGUAGGCCAAGGAUUUCAGAGGGCUUGAUAGGGGUCUGGGACUUGUGUCUAUGGAAUAGCAGGAAUAGAAGAUGAACUUGGGUCAUGUGAAGGGUAUUUGACUUCAAAUUAUUAACACUGGAGACAAGAACAUGGUUGGAGAGUGGGCCUUACCAGAAGAAAUGGUUGACAAUUUACCACCCUCCAACAAUUGCAUACUGGGCCAUAUUCUUCACAGGCUAGUUGAAAAAUCUCUUCCUCCUCGAGCGGAAUCAACAACACCUGAAUUACCUUCAUUUGCUGUUAAAGGAUGCUUAUUGGGGAAAACAUUAAGUGGAAAAACUACCAUUUUAAGGUCUCUACAAAAAGACUUUCCUAUACAGAUACUUUCUAUUGACACUCUUGUCCAAGAAGCUAUCCAAGCAUUUCAUGACAAUGAAAAAGUCAGUGAGGUUCUACCAAUUCAGAAAAAAGAUGAAGAAGAUGCUCUACCAGUUCUGCAAGAGGAGAUUAAAGAAAGCCAGGAUCCACAACAUGUAUUUUCAGCUGGUCCAGUUUCAGAUGAAGUAUUACCAGAAACAGAAGGUGGUAAUGCUGAUAAAACACCAAAAGCUGAAGAAGUCAAAUCAAGUGAUAGUUUCUUAAAACUCACUACACGUGCUCAGCUUGGUGCAAAAUCAGAACAGUUGCUGAAGAAAGGAAAGAGCAUUCCUGAUGUGCUGCUUGUUGACAUCAUGGUAAAUGCUAUUAACAAGAUACCUGUGAAUCAAGACUGUAUCCUAGAUGGUUUUCCAAUGACUUUAAACCAAGCACAGCUUCUGGAAGAAGCUCUUACAGGCUGCAAUAGAAACCUCACAGAAGUGGAAAGAAAAAAAGCACAAAAAUCCACAUUGGCUAUUGAUCCUGCGACUUCCAAAGAAAUACCUCUUCCCUCUCCUGCAUUUGAUUUUGUCAUAUUAUUAGAUGUUUCAGAUACUUCCUCAAUGAGUCGCAUGAAUGAUAUUAUAGCUGAAGAAUUGUCCUAUAAAACUGCUCACGAAGAUAUCAGUCAACGUGUAGCUGCUGAAAACCAAGAUAAGGAUGGAGACCAAAAUUUAAGAGACCAGAUACAACAUAGAAUUAUAGGCUUCUUGGACAACUGGCCUUUAUUGGAGCAAUGGUUUUCAGAGCCAGAAAAUAUUUUGAUAAAAAUCAAUGCUGAAAUAGAUAAGGAAUCUUUAUGUGAAAAAGUAAAAGAAAUUCUUACGACUGAAAUAGC
rnacentral:sRNA from 1 species